rfam:Beta vulgaris subsp. vulgaris Bvchr8.sca018.con0254.1, whole genome shotgun sequence.
AGGCAGCCCCCUAGCAAAAAAAAGUUGAUAAGGGAGGUGUUAUUCUACUCGUAGAUUGACUCUUUAGCUCUUCAGAACUGCUGAUAUUUAGGAUGAAGCAGUUCUAGUAACGCUGAAGUACAUU